rnacentral:rRNA from 1 species
GACGAACGCUGGCGGCGUGCUUAACACAUGCAAGUCGAACGGAAAGGCCCUGCUUUUGUGGGGUGCUCGAGUGGCGAACGGGUGAGUAACACGUGAGUAACCUGCCCUUGACUUUGGGAUAACUUCAGGAAACUGGGGCUAAUACCGGAUAGGAGCUCCUGCUGCAUGGUGGGGGUUGGAAAGUUUCGGCGGUUGGGGAUGGACUCGCGGCUUAUCAGCUUGUUGGUGGGGUAGUGGCUUACCAAGGCUUUGACGGGUAGCCGGCCUGAGAGGGUGACCGGCCACAUUGGGACUGAGAUACGGCCCAGACUCCUACGAGAGGCAGCAGUGGGGAAUAUUGCACAAUGGGCGGAAGCCUGAUGCAGCAACGCCACGUGCGGGAUGACGGCCUUCGGGUUGUAAACCGCUUUCGCCUGUGACGAAGCGUGAGUGACGGUAAUGGGUAAAGAAGCACCGGCUAACUACGUG